UCUCGCUGCGGCCCGCGGGAAGGCGUGGCUAUGACAUCAGUCCCCGCCCAUCAGGCACAGGUGCAUUCUGGGAUUGCUUAGCCCGAUUGAUGCCAGAACACAGGUCUGUGUGCCAGAAACGGUCAUAGAAAUAAUCCCGUGGGUGAAAUUCCGCCAAAAUCGGAUGAUGGGGAGUGAAAGUGAAGAGAAAACAUGCCACUCCGAGGAUACCAAUCUUCACGUUUUGUUUCAUGAGGAAAAUGACUAAAGGUUUCUUACAACAGAUGGACCCAAGGGCCUGGAUGACGGAAAACUCCAGAGAAGGGACCUUGAAUUUCUCUCCAUUAACCUAAUCACACAAGAUGAAGAGCCUCACUUCAGGAUCUGUAUAGCAGAGGAGGACGUGUAAGCUGUAAGGCGUUAAGUUCUGCCAGGAGGAUGAG